UGGGGAAUUUUGGACAAUGGGGGCAACCCUGAUCCAGCAAUGCAGCGUGUGUGAAGAAGGCCUUCGGGUUGUAAAGCACUUUUGUCCGGGAAGAAAUCGCACCUGAUAAUACCGGGUGUGGAUGACGGUACCGGAAGAAUAAGGACCGGCUAACUACGUGCCAGCAGCCGCGGUAAUACGUAGGGUCCAAGCGUUAAUCGGAAUUACUGGGCGUAAAGCGUGCGCAGGCGGUUGUGCAAGACCGAUGUGAAAUCCCCGGGCUUAACCUGGGAAUUGCAUUGGUGACUGCACGGCUAGAGUGUGUCAGAGGGGGGUAGAAUUCCACGUGUAGCAGUGAAAUGCGUGGAGGUGUGGAGGAAUACCGAUGGAGAAGGCAGCCCCCUGGGAUAACACUGACGCUCAUGCACGAAAGCGUGGGGAGCAAACAGG
rnacentral:rRNA from 1 species